GAGGGCAUGUGAAGGAGCGGGGGAGGGGGAGAGUAGAGUGGUCUGUUUCUUUUACUAAUCCCCUGAAACCGGAACCUUUAUUGCUUCUGAAGGACAUUAUAAGGCUGAAGUCCUCCCGCCUUGUGCUCAGAUCGCUACUCCCGGGCACCACUGACCAAGCCUCCGACACGCCCGCAACUUGCUCCCACACUUGUGCUUCCUGCUGGGAAUGUGGUGGAGGAGGGCGAGCAGCGUUGUGGCCCUCUGACAUUUGCCUGGAAAAGAGAGGAUGCGCUCAACUGUCUUGUUUGGCGUCUGCAUCAUCCAGCACUGUUUUGAUUUGAGGGAACACAGCCUCCUCUUCUGGACAAAAGUGAAAGUAGCAAUGCCUGUGAUGAGGCUCUCAUAACACAAAUGCGCUGUGACUUCUCCUCUUGUUUCAGGCAAAAGAUCCAACGAAUGUUUCGCCAUUUAUGAAAACAAGG